AUCAUCUGAGGAUCUUGUUAAAAUGCAGAUUGUGAUUCAGUAAUGCUGGGGUUAAGAGCUGAAAUCCUGCAUUUUUAACAGGCUCUCAAGUGAUGCUGC
rnacentral:pre_miRNA from 1 species